CUCUUAAAGCCAGAGCCAAGCCCAAACUCCUACUAGCAGCUCACUCCAUAGCUUGCCUCAGCAUCAGCUCUUAAAGCCAGAGCCAAGCCCAAACUCCUACUAGCAGCUCACUCCAUAGCUUGCCUCAGCAUCAGCUCUUAAAGCCAGAGCCAAGCCCAAACUCCCAACAGGACUUUGACUGAAACACUUUCCCGCUGGGUGCUAAUGCAAGGACAGGGAAUAACUGUGUCGUCACAAUAAAAUGCUAGUUUCACAUUAGAAGAACAACACUUCCAUGAGAACAUGAUAUGAUGUCUCAUGCUGGCUGGAUUAUAGCUAAUGAAAUCAUUUAAAUUAAACCUUCGCUUCACUCUAAGUGAGUGUUCAUUUGCGAUAAGUGCCCAUGUGACUUCUCUCUCUCAAAUCGGGUGAGUUGUUUGUCUGUGUAUCCUGCUGCGUUUACCAUGGGUGGUGUGUCCAUAGUGUUAGCGCUGUCGUGAGGGGAAUGGAGCAAAUGGGUUGAUGGGAGUGUUUUAGCACAAUACACUUUUCUCUUCAUGUCGAGUGAGGUUUGCACAGUGCUGUGUAGAGAUGCAUUUUUCACUUCCGUGUCUCUGCAGUACAGCCUCGGUCGCAAAUUACACUUAUUUAAAUCGCUUUUUGCAUACUUAUGCAGAUCACUUUCACAAUUUCAAUAAUAGAGAACAUGUGCUUUCAUUGCCUUGUGAGUUUCACUGUGUGUGAUUUUAAUACUCCCCCCGCUAAGCUAUAUAGAAAUAACAAUGGAACUCAUUCAUAACGUACGAUACUGGAUAUGUAACAGGAGUCUAUAGGUCUCAUUGGGUCUCCAUGAUGCUUUGCCUAACACAGGUCAACCUGUCCUCCCCUCUUAAUCCUGGAUAAGAGCUUGGUUAAUCAGCCUUAUUACUGUAAUAACAUUAGAAAGUGGAUGACUGCAUGCCUUUAUAGUCUAGGCUGGUGUUCGUGUCCGACCAGUGCGCACAGCCGUACUGUGACCUUGCAAAUCCCGUUAUGCCGUUGUAAGGUAGCCAAACAGCCCAAGCCCCUCUUCCUUUAACUAGCUUAUAACUCAUAUGUUCAAGCAUAUGUCAGGGCAAAGAUUGAAUCAAGCUGGGUAGCUGUGGGGUGUAGGUCAUGUAUGGAGGAUCUCUGACACUGAUGGAGAAACGGACUCUGCCUCGACACAAGGUGGCUACACGCCCACUCUCCCACCCACACACAGCCUGUCCCCGUCUAUUUUAAAAAGACCAACAAAGUCACCCCACAACGAUGUCACCAUCCGUUAACUCAACGCUGUCAGCUCCUGAGAUGUAGUCAGGCAGGGAGGUGACAACUCGCGUUUCCAGGUGCCAUGGUAACAGAACUGAAUGUCUUAUCACUUGUGGAUUCUCUGUGGUUUCUUCUCUCUUCCUCUUCCCAAAGCCCAAUCCAAUAUUAAAGCUAAACCAAUGCAUCUAUGAACAUGACCCUUGCCACAGUUUUUAUGAAGUCAUUAUUUUCAUUACGGUAUUGUGAAGAGAUAUGUGCGCAUAUGUUUUUUUGUACAAAACCCCCUCCAAUGGAGUCACGUAACGCUACAGGUGCUGUUUUCUGUCUUCUAAUUUCUCUCCUCUUCUCUAAUUUAUUGUGCCCUUUUCUCCAAGGCUGUUUUGCCUCAUUCGCUGAUAAGUUUCUUUUUGUAUUAUUAAUCCUUUCAAUUUGGUUUAGUCACUGCUAAUGUAACAAAACGCACUGUGAUGAUUCCAGUAUUAAUAAAAUAUGUACUUAAACUGUG
ensembl:lncRNA